AGAGUUUGAUCAUGGCUCAGAUUGAACGCUGGCGGCAGGCUUAACACAUGCAAGUCGAGCGGUAACAUUUCUAGCUUGCUAGGAGAUGACGAGCGGCGGACGGGUGAGUAAUGCUUGGGAAUAUGCCUUGUGGUGGGGGACAACAGUUGGAAACGACUGCUAAUACCGCAUAACGUCUACGGACCAAAGGGGGGGACCUUCGGACCUCACGCCAUUAGAUUAGCCCAAGUGAGAUUAGCUAGUUGGUAGGGUAAAGGCUUACCAAGGCGACGAUCUCUAGCUGGUUUGAGAGGAUGAUCAGCCACACUGGGACUGAGACACGGCCCAGACUCCUACGGGAGGCAGCAGUGGGGAAUAUUGCACAAUGGGCGAAAGCCUGAUGCAGCCAUGCCGCGUGUGUGAAGAAGGCCUUCGGGUUGUAAAGCACUUUCAGCGAGGAGGAAAGGGUAUUACUUAAUACGUAAUAUCUGUGACGUUACUCGCAGAAGAAGCACCGGCUAACUUCGUGCCAGCAGCCGCGGUAAUACGAGGGGUGCAAGCGUUAAUCGGAAUUACUGGGCGUAAAGCGCAUGCAGGCGGUUGGCUAAGCCAGAUGUGAAAGCCCCGGGCUCAACCUGGGAACUGCAUUUUGAACUGGCAGGCUAGAGUCUAAGGUGGUAAAUUCAGGGUUAUUCGGUACGUAAUCGUAGAUUGAGAUCCGGGGAAGCGCCCUGCAAUAAUGACGUAAUGGAAGCUGGGGCAACAGAUUAAUCCCUGUUUCACGCGUAACGAGUCUACUGAUUGUUUGAACAUGGCUCCAAGCUACGCAUAAGUAGACCCCUGGGGAGUACGCCGCAGGUAAAACUCAAAUGAAUUGACGGGGGCCCGCACAAGCGGUGGAGCAUGUGGUUUAAUUCGAUGCCACGCGAAGAACCUUACCAUCCCUUGACAUCCAGAGAAUUCACUAGAGUGAAUUGGUGCCUUCGGGAACUAUGAGACAGGUGCUGCAUGGCUGUCGUCAGCUCGUGUUGUGAAAUGUUGGGUUAAGUCCCGCAACGAGCGCAACCCUUAUCCUUAUUUGCCAGCACGUAAUGGUGGGAACUCUAAGGAGACUGCCGGUGAUAAACCGGAGGAAGGUGGGGACGACGUCAAGUCAUCAUGGCCCUUACGAGUAGGGCUACACACGUGCUACAAUGGCGCAUACAAAGGGCUGCAAACCAGCGAUGGUAAGCGAAUCCCAUAAAGUGCGUCGUAGUCCGGAUUGGGGUCUGCAACUCGACCCCAUGAAGUCGGAAUCGCUAGUAAUCGUAGAUCAGAAUGCUACGGUGAAUACGUUCCCGGGCCUUGUACACACCGCCCGUCACACCAUGGGAGUGGGUUGCAAAAGAAGUAGCUAGUCUAACCUUCGGGAGGACGGUUACCACUUUGUGAUUCAUGACUGGGGUGAAGUCGUAACAAGGUAGCCGUA
rnacentral:rRNA from 1 species